AAUAUAAAACGUAGUUAAAAUACAGUUGAAUUGUUGAAUAUAUACCAAUAUAUAUCCAAUAUAUAUUGAAAACAGUUUGAAAUUGAGUAGUACAAAGGGCUUCUAAGAGAUAAGCCUGGUACUCUGUGGUACUGCAGUCUGUGUGAAUAAAGUACAUUCUAGUAUUUACUGUACAUGCAAAACCACAGAAUGAGAGUGCCUGACAGACCAACCAACCUACACAUGUCCUCUAUGCCCUUGUAUGGUUAUUUUUUUACCCUAGAUUAUUGUUGUUAUUGACAAUAUUGAUUAUUAUUAUGUUGAUAUUGUAAAGAGAGAGAGAGAGAGAGAGAGAGCAGAGGAUACUGGAAGGUUCAGAUGCCUAGGGGUCAGUCAGAGGACAGUGGAAGGGUCAGAUGCCUAGGGGUCAGUCAGAGGAUACUGGAAGGGUCAGAUGCCUAGGGGUCAGUCAGAGGAUACUGGAAGGGGUCAGAUGCCUAGGGGUCAGUCAGAGGAUACUGGAAGGGUCAGAUGCCUAGGGGUCAGUCAGAGGACAGUGGAAGGGUCAGAUGCCUAGGGGUCAGUCAGAGGACAGUGGAAGGGUCAGAUGCCUAGGGGUCAGUCAGAGGACAGUGGAAGGGUCAGAUGCCUAGGGGUCAGUCAGAGGAUACUGGAAGGGUCAGAUGCCUAGGGGUCAGUCAGAGGACAGUGGAAGGGUCAGAUGCCUAGGGGUCAGUCAGAGGAUAGUGGAAGGGUCAGAUGCCUAGGGGUCAGUCAGAGGACAGUGGAAGGGUCAGAUGCCUAGGGGUCAGUCAGAGGACAGUGGAAGGGUCAGAUGCCUAGGGGUCAGUCAGAGGACAGUGGAAGGGUCAGAUGCCUAGGGGUCAGUCAGAGGACACUGGAAGGGUCAGAUGCCUAGGGGUCAGUCAGAGGACAGUGGAAGGGGUCAGAUGCCUAGGGGUCAGUCAGAGGAUACUGGAAGGGUCAGAUGCCUAGGGGUCAGUCAGAGGACAGUGGAAGGGGUCAGAUGCCUAGGGGUCAGUCAGAGGAUACUGGAAGGGUCAGAUGCCUAGGGGUCAGUCAGAGGAUACUGGAAGGGUCAGAUGCCUAGGGGUCAGUCAGAGGACAGUGGAAGGUUCAGAUGCCUAGGGGUCAGUCAGAGGACAGUGGGAAGGUCAGAUGCCUAGGGGUCAGUCAGAGGACAGUGGAAGGGUCAGAUGCCUAGGGGUCAGUCAGAGGACACUGGAAGGUUCAGAUGCCUAGGGGUCAGUCAGAGGAUACUGGAAGGGUCAGAUGCCUAGGGGUCAGUCAGAGGACAGUGGGAGGGUCAGAUGCCUAGGGGUCAGUCAGAGGACAGUGGGAGGGUCAGAUGCCUAGGGGUCAGUCAGAGGACAGUGGGAAGGUCAGAUGCCUAGGGGUCAGUCAGAGGAUACUGGAAGGUCAGAUGCCUAGGAGUCAGUCAGAGGACAGUGGGAAGGUCAGAUGCCUAGGGGUCAGUCAGAGAUCAAGUCCCAAAUGGAACUGUGGAAGAGACAGUGUAUUGGGUCAACACACAUCUGCCACAAUCUCUAACCCUGGCAUCAGGCAUCUUUACUGUACCCUCAAGCUCUGCCCCUCCCCAGUCUGCUCCUCCCCAGUCUGCCCCUCCCCAGUCUGCUCCUCCCCAGUCUGCCCCUCCCCAGUCUGCCCC